GACGAACCGUGCGAACGUUAUUCGGAAUCACUGGGCUUAAAGGGCGCGUAGGCGGGCUGCCAAGUCAAGGGUGAAAUCCCACGGCUCAACCGUGGAAGAGCCCCUGAUACUGGCGGUCUCGAGGGAGGUAGGGGUGUGUGGAACUUCCGGUGGAGCGGUGAAAUGCGUAGAUAUCGGAAGGAACGCCGGUGGCGAAAGCGACGCACUGGACCUCUUCUGACGCUGAGGCGCGAAAGCCAGGGGAGCAAACGGG
rnacentral:rRNA from 1 species